rnacentral:rRNA from 1 species
CACGGAGUUAGCCGGUCCUUAUUCUUACGAUACCGUCAAGCUGCUUCACGAAGCAGUGUUUACUUCUCGUAUAAAAGCAGUUUACACACCAUAGAUGCUUCAUCCUGCACGCGGCAUGGCUGGUUCAGGCUUGCCGCCCAUUGACCAACUAUUCCUCACUGCUGCCUCCCGUAGGAGUCUGGUCCGUGUCUCAGUAACCAGUGUGGGGGAUCUCCCUCUCAGGGACCCCUACCAUCGUUGCCAUGGUAAGCCCGUUAACCUUACCAUCUAGCUAAUGGGACGCAUGCCCUAUCUUUCACCGUUGGAACUUUAAUAUAAUGAUGAUGCCAUCUCUAUAUACUAUAAGGUAUUAAUCCAAAUUUCUCUGGGCUAUCCCUUUGUGAAAAGGUAGGUUGCAUACGCGUUACGCACCCGUGCGCCGGUCUCAAAAAUAGCAAAGCUAUUUCUAACCCCCUGACCUUGCAUGUGUUAAGCCUGCCGCUAAGCGUUCA